GACGAACGCUGGCGGCGCGCCUAACACAUGCAAGUCGAACGAGCGAUAGAGAGCUUGCUUUCUCGAGCGAGUGGCGAACGGGUGAGUAACGCGUGAGGAACCUGCCUCAAAGAGGGGGACAACAGUUGGAAACGACUGCUAAUACCGCAUAAGCCCACGGCUCGGCAUCGAGCAGGGGGAAAAGGAGCAAUCCGCUUUGAGAUGGCCUCGCGUCCGAUUAGCUAGUUGGUGAGGUAACGGCCCACCAAGGCAACGAUCGGUAGCCGGACUGAGAGGUUGAACGGCCACAUUGGGACUGAGACACGGCCCAGACUCCUACGGGAGGCAGCAGUGGGGAAUAUUGCACAAUGGGGAAACCCUGAUGCAGCGACGCCGCGUGGAGGAAGAAGGUCUUCGGAUUGUAAACUCCUGUUGUUGGGGAAGAUAAUGACGGUACCCAACAAGGAAGUGACGGCUAACUACGUG
rnacentral:rRNA from 1 species